AGAGUUUGAUCCUGGCUCAGAUUGAACGCUGGCGGCAGGCCUAACACAUGCAAGUCGAGCGGUAGAGAGAAGCUUGCUUCUCUUGAGAGCGGCGGACGGGUGAGUAAUACCUAGGAAUCUGCCUGAUAGUGGGGGAUAACGUUCGGAAACGGACGCUAAUACCGCAUACGUCCUACGGGAGAAAGCAGGGGACCUUCGGGCCUUGCGCUAUCAGAUGAGCCUAGGUCGGAUUAGCUAGUUGGUGAGGUAAUGGCUCACCAAGGCUACGAUCCGUAACUGGUCUGAGAGGAUGAUCAGUCACACUGGAACUGAGACACGGUCCAGACUCCUACGGGAGGCAGCAGUGGGGAAUAUUGGACAAUGGGCGAAAGCCUGAUCCAGCCAUGCCGCGUGUGUGAAGAAGGUCUUCGGAUUGUAAAGCACUUUAAGUUGGGAGGAAGGGCAUUAACCUAAUACGUUAGUGUUUUGACGUUACCGACAGAAUAAGCACCGGCUAACUCUGUGCCAGCAGCCGCGGUAAUACAGAGGGUGCAAGCGUUAAUCGGAAUUACUGGGCGUAAAGCGCGCGUAGGUGGUUUGUUAAGUUGAAUGUGAAAUCCCCGGGCUCAACCUGGGAACUGCAUCCAAAACUGGCAAGCUAGAGUAUGGUAGAGGGUAGUGGAAUUUCCUGUGUAGCGGUGAAAUGCGUAGAUAUAGGAAGGAACACCAGUGGCGAAGGCGACUACCUGGACUGAUACUGACACUGAGGUGCGAAAGCGUGGUGAGCAAACAGGAUUAGAUACCCUGGUAGUCCACGCCGUAAACGAUGUCAACUAGCCGUUGGGAGUCUUGAACUCUUAGUGGCGCAGCUAACGCAUUAAGUUGACCGCCUGGGGAGUACGGCCGCAAGGUUAAAACUCAAAUGAAUUGACGGGGGCCCGCACAAGCGGUGGAGCAUGUGGUUUAAUUCGAAGCAACGCGAAGAACCUUACCAGGCCUUGACAUCCAAUGAACUUUCUAGAGAUAGAUUGGUGCCUUCGGGAACAUUGAGACAGGUGCUGCAUGGCUGUCGUCAGCUCGUGUCGUGAGAUGUUGGGUUAAGUCCCGUAACGAGCGCAACCCUUGUCCUUAGUUACCAGCACGUAAUGGUGGGCACUCUAAGGAGACUGCCGGUGACAAACCGGAGGAAGGUGGGGAUGACGUCAAGUCAUCAUGGCCCUUACGGCCUGGGCUACACACGUGCUACAAUGGUCGGUACAAAGGGUUGCCAAGCCGCGAGGUGGAGCUAAUCCCAUAAAACCGAUCGUAGUCCGGAUCGCAGUCUGCAACUCGACUGCGUGAAGUCGGAAUCGCUAGUAAUCGUGAAUCAGAAUGUCACGGUGAAUACGUUCCCGGGCCUUGCACAAACCGCCCGUCA
rnacentral:rRNA from 1 species